UGUGUUUUAUGGGUGUAGUAGAGUAGGGUUGUUUUCGAGUCAUGGUAUUAUUGUUUUGUUUACUUAUUAUUAAACUGCGUGGUUGUGUCAGCCAGAGGCUGAAAUUUAUAUAAACUGCGUGGAUGUGUCAGUGAGAUCUUCUCGCCGGCUUCACCGUCGCCAUCCUCGCUGUUCCGCAAGGCAUCAGCUAUGCCCGCCUCGCCUACCUUCAUCUCGUCAUCAGCCUCUAUUCGAGUUUCAUCCCAUCGUUAAUCUAUGCGAUAUUUGGUAGCUCCACAAACGUGGUCAGCGGGGACAUCGCCGCCGUCUCGCUGUUUCUUGUUUCAGCCAUCGGAGCAAAAGUAUCGCCGGUUGACCACCUGGAGUUGUACACGCAUUUGCUCUUCACCGCCUUCUUCACAGGGCUCUUUCAAGCGGCGCUUGACAUCUUUCGUUAAUUGUUAAUUUCUAGUGUACGUAAGCUACAAAAAAAAGAGUCGAUAAAUAAAUAAAUAAAUAAAUAAAUAUACAGAAUUUGUAUA